rnacentral:sRNA from 1 species
UUUUUUUUUUUUUUUUUUUUUAUAGGUUUUGCCAUCUUGGCAGGUGGUCUGAACUCUGGCCUCAAGUGAUCCACCUGCUCAGCCUCCAAAUGCUAGGAUUACAGGCAUGGCCCGUGCCGGCCACGGCUGGACUCUUAGCCAGCCCCAAUCCAGCCACAUGACUUUGGCUGGGUCACUCCUUUGAGGCACGAAGACCACGUCACUUGGUUGCAUGCUGGGUGCCAGUGGGACAGUAUGAGAAGACCCAUGAAGAGUGAUGAAAGAAGGCUGGCUAGGAACCAGGUGGGGCAGGUUGUCUGCACUUCGUGGCUAUUAUGAGCAAUGCUGCUAUAGACAUUUACA